rnacentral:lncRNA from 1 species
CCUGGAAUUGAAAUGGGGUUUUUCUGUUUAUCUUUUGAUGCAUGAAUAUUUUACUACAUAUAGUUAUUUGGAUUUUUUGUUGUGGACUGUAACUUAUAGCUGAAUUUGGAAUUUUGAGAGUUUUUUGUUUGUUUGUGUUUUUGGGUAUCCUGAUGUGUGUGAACAUUUACUAUUUCUCUUUUUGGAGAAACGGAUUUUCGCUUGACAUUGG